UACAGAGGUGGCAAGCGUUGUUCGGAAUUACUGGGCGUAAAGGGCGCGUAGGCGGCUCGACAAGUCCCGCGUGAAAGCCCCCGGCUCAACUGGGGAACUGCGCGGGAAACUGUCGGACUUGAGUUCGGGAGAGGGAAGCGGAAUUCCGGGUGUAGCGGUGAAAUGCGUAGAUAUCCGGAGGAACACCGGUGGCGAAGGCGGUUCUCUGGGCCUUACCUGACGCUGAGGAGCGAAAGCGUGGGGAGCGAACAGG
rnacentral:rRNA from 1 species